CUUCAGGUGGUGGAAGCAUAUUUUAACAGUUUGCUAGCAGCGAUCGUGUAUGGGAUUGACAGAUUUAAAGGAACACUGUACAGCCCGUAAUCCCCUCAUCAAUGAGCCCCCUCACCCCAUACCUACCACCUCACGUCCAAGUCCUCUAAUUAGUGAACGAAAGGGUUUUGAGGGUAGAAGAAGGGGUAGGGGGGAAGGCAUCACUGCAGGCACUAUAACUACUUCAAUAAAAUUAAGCUGUUAAAGUGCCUACAG